rnacentral:rRNA from 1 species
UACGGGGGGGGCAAGCGUUGUUCGGAAUUACUGGGCGUAAAGGGCUCGUAGGCGGCCAACUAAGUCGGAUGUGAAAUCCCCAGGCUCAACCUGGGAACUGCAUCCGAUACUGGAUGGCUUGAAUUCGGGAGAGGGAUGCAGAAUUCCAGGUGUAGCGGUGAAAUGCGUAGAUAUCUGGAGGAAUACCGGUGGCGAAGGCGGCAUCCUGGACCGACAUUGACGCUGAGGAGCGAGAGCCAGGGGAGCAAACGGG